rnacentral:rRNA from 1 species
GAGGCCUGCCUGCCCAGUGACAAACGUUCAACGGCCGCGGUAUCCUGACCGUGCAAAGGUAGCAUAAUCACUUGUUCCUUAAUUGGGGACUGGAAUGAAUGGCCUCACGAGGAUUCAACUGUCUCUUACCUCUAAUCAGUGAAAUUGACCUCCCCGUGAAGAGGCGGGGAUAUAACAACAAGACGAGAAGACCCUAUGGAGCUUUAAUUUUCUGUCUUAACUACUAAAUAACUAACCCUACUGGGAUAAAAAAAAAGAGAAAUAAGUCAGUAAUUUCGGUUGGGGUGACCUCGGAGAAUAAGACAACCUCCGAAUGAUUUUAACCAAGACAAACAAGUCAAAGUAUUAAAAAUCAAAUUGACCCAAUUCAUUUGAUCAACGGACCAAGUUACCCUAGGGAUAACAGCGCAAUCCUAUUCAAGAGUCCAUAUCGACAAUUAGGGUUUACGACCUCGAUGUUGGAUCAGGACAUCCCAAUGGUGCAGCAGCUAUUAAUGGUUCGUUUGUUCAACGAUUAAAGUCCUACGUGAUCUG